rnacentral:rRNA from 1 species
CGUAUCACCCAAGACAACUUUACGGAGUUGACGAUUGACGGAGCGAAGCGACGUCAAAGCGUUCAUUAAAGUCGAGUUGGCUUAGGGAUACGUUCGUUGGGUAGGGGAGCGUUCUGUAAGCCUGUGAAGGUGUGUCGUGAGGCAUGCUGGAGGUAUCAGAAGUGCGAAUGCUGACAUAAGUAACGAUAAAGCGGGUGAAAAGCCCGCUCGCCGGAAGACCAAGGGUUCCUGUCCAACGUUAAUCGGGGCAGGGUGAGUCGACCCCUAAGGCGAGGCCGAAAGGCGUAGUCGAUGGGAAACGGGUUAAUAUUCCCGUACUUGGUGUUACUGCGAAGGGGGGACGGAGAAGGCUAUGUUGGCCGGGCGACGGUUGUCCCGGUUUAAGCGUGUAGGUGUGUGUUCCAGGUAAAUCCGGUUCACUUUAACACUGAGGCGUGACGACGAGGCACUACGGUGCUGAAGCAACAAAUGCCCUGCUUCCAGGAAAAGCCUCUAAGCAUCAGGUAACACGAAAUCGUACCCCAAACCGACACAGGUGGUCAGGUAGAGAAUACCAAGGCGCUUGAGAGAACUCGGGUGAAGGAACUAGGCAAAAUGGUGCCGUAACUUCGGGAGAAGGCACGCUGACACGUAGGU